GUGACGCGGACAAGAGCUAGUGCGAAAUACCGGCAGCAACGGCAGCAGCGAAGUCGAAGCAAACCUAAGCAGCCUGUAAUCGAGCUGGACGUCGCAUCGGCCUGCUUCAAUAGCAGCAGCAGCAUCGGACAGUGAAGUUAACCCAAGCAACCAUCGAGCUGAGGGUCGCACCGGCCUGCUUCGGUAGCAGCGAACAUCGAAGCUAAGCCGAGCAACCCGCAAUCGAGCUUGGCGUCGGUCUGCUGCAAUAGCAACAACAGCAACAGCAGCAACAACAGCGGCAGCGAACAUCACAAUUAAUCCGAUGCGAUUCUCUUGCCAACCAACAUGGAUACAAUGCGCUCUCCACUCUGAAACAAUCAUAAUUUGGCAUUAGAUUCAGCAGAAAAAUGAAUUAUCCAUCCAUCGUUUUCAUCGGUGCUUUCCGUGCAUCUGUAAAAAAGACGCGCUCCAUGGCGUCCCCGACGCUAAUUUUGGCGAAUAAUUUUCACUGCAUCGGUCUAAGUUGUGUUAAGUGCUUGCAGCAGUGUCUUAGAAUAUCAACAAAUAUUCACGAGAAACGAAUAUGAUUUUGUUCCAAUGUAAAUGACUUUUUUUUAGCUUGAAA